AGCAUAACUGCUGGAUCCUAGGUUAAGAGUAUAUUUAGUUUUGGAAAUAACUGCCAAACUUUCUUUUAAAACUGGCUGUACAUUUUUCAUUCCCAUCAUCAGU
rnacentral:pre_miRNA from 1 species